GCAGGUGUUUGUGCGGACACGUCUAUACCAGCGUUUGCUGAUCGGUGUAAAAGACGUAUAUUCAGGCCCAUAUGUGCUUAGAUAUGAAGAUAUAUAUGCCUAGGCAUGCAAUACAUGUUUCUGUACGUACACACUGAUCUAUGUCUAUAUUGGCAGGCAGCUCAGUCUAGAGAUAAAAGAUAGGUUCUUUGUUUCCCAAGACACCCAGCGUGUUCUCCAAUCGCUAGUGGAUCUGGCCUGGAGCUUGGCGCCUCGGUUUUCUCUUUCAAAGUUACCGCUACGCCGGCAGGGUGUGCUAACGCGCGUCCGUGUCCCUCCUGCUUCUGUUGCUCCCAGAUUGUGAGUGCGCGGUUUCCUUCCUUGUGCGAAGAGACACCUUUGCGGGGGUUGCCAGUUUUUGCCUGAAGUUGGGCACGAGUGUUUGGAAGCGACAAGGAAAAAGCGUUUUUUCUGUGGUAUUCUCUUUCUCUCACAGCUCCACGUAAGGAAGGAGAGAGAACUCGGCGGCAGCCGGCCACAGCAGGCGAAUGGGAAACGGCCCAGUUUUUGCGCAUUCGGCUUCUUUAUCCGGUACAUACAGCUGGCUCUCUGCUCCUUUUUCUUGUUCUGCUCCAGCUCUGUAUGUUUUGCGUCUGCUGUGCGUUUCACUGUCGCUCCGCGCAGACCCCAGCGGCCGUAAGGUUUUGCUCAUUUCAUACCCGCUUCGGAGUCUCCCGUCGCCCAGGCGAUGCCGUCUGUGGCUGUAUGUGUGAAUUCGUUUCCGUACACCCAUCUCUAUGCUCAUAGCCUCGGUCAGCACAACGACCCCUCUUGUACGCUAUGCCUGUGAAAGAACUUUCUCUGCUUCGCCUCUGCACAAAUUCACACCGUAAUGCGAAUAUAAUAGGUGCACAAUGGGGAAUGUGUGGAAAUGGAAUAUAUAUGGGCAUGCAGUUGGGCGCAAAAACCGUGUAUAUACACCUGCCUGUUGCACGCUUGGCCGAUGUGGGCUACGCCGCGUGCUCUGUCGCGGUUUGCUUCAUGGCAGUUGGCUCGUGCGUAUCUACAACAGAUAGAGACAACGUGGAAGGUAUGUGGGAAAUAUGCGAACUCGAUUUGUAUCCUCUAUCGAUCCCCUUAUAUGCCGUUCCUGGUCGCACUGCCAGAAUGUAGGCGUAUCUCCUUGCGAAUCGACUGCAGUCAUCGGAGAGAGAGAACGAGGAAGCGUCCUUCUGUCGAGAGUGACACAAAAGACAAGAACCGACAGCUUCCAUGACAGAUCGGAGGCGGGCCAGGCGACGCUCAUGCACAGCUCUUGCCUUUGUUUUCCUCUUUUUUUAUUCGCUUCAUCUUUCCGUCUUCGUUGCGCCCGUACUGUCUCCUGCCGCCGCCAUCUUGUGCAGCCCCCUGAUCUGCGGCCUCCUCCUCCCUCCUGUCUUCGUCUCAGCUGUCAGGUGUCUUCCCUUCCUCGUUUUCAGACGUUUCACGCGCCGGCCUUCCGGUGUCUCUGUCUGCUUUUUCACACUUCAUUUUGACCGCGUGGUCGGGGAUGCUCGUCUUGUCCUCGUGCAGUCACAACUCGUGUCCCAUUUUUGUUGGAUUCUCCAUGUUUUGGGAGUUCCGCUCUCAGCCUCGCCACUCAGCUGCGGAAAACCCUGCUUUCGGCCGGCGGGCUUCCCUGUCCUCAGCGUGUAAGCCAAGGGCUCUUUCUUUGGUGUGUCGUGACGCCAGACAGUCCAUUUUCUGCGUGCAUGUUCCCGCUUUCUUCCCUCGCGGUGUUCUUUCCUGUUCGCUGCGAACUCCGCGCCGAUUAGGUCGCCAUGUUUCUCCUGCGCUUGCUCUCUGUCCGGCUAAAACCCAGAAUGUAAGCAACGCCUUUCUCCCUGCUGGCAGGCCUGUCUGUGCCGCGCGUAGAUGAUUCACACGCCCCGCGUCGCCGGAAGAAUCGCACUGGCGUGCAUAUUUCGAGCAUCAAUGCUUCACAGUUGUUUCUUUUUUAUGCGGUUCUGACCCAAAUAACAAGAGACGGUACACCGGAUACUCAGAGCAUCGGUCUGUGUGCGCGAAGCACAUCUUCUACGCUAUUUGCAAUUUUGAUUGUCACCGAAGUGCAUGCGGCUGUGUCGCCGAUCCGCUGCAAGCGGUGAGCCCUAGACUACGGCAAGUCUGUCUUGCUCACUCCAGUCGCCAGCGUUCGUUCGCUUCCUUCUCUUCCCGCUCGUCUUUGUCCCCUGCGUCCGUGUAUUUGAAACUACAGCGACACGACGUCCAUAUUUUUACCUCUAGAUCGUUACGUGGAGCCAUGCACUAACGCUGAGUCAUAUGUCUAAGCAGAUGCAGAUCGACAUUUCGACAAGGCGUUCGCUGGCAAAUGAAGGAUUGAUUCUGCUCAGAGCUGGCGAGUCAUUCAGAAACUCUUUGGUCUGUUUCAUCUUCUUUCACCUUCAACAUGCACUCACUGG
rnacentral:lncRNA from 1 species